rnacentral:rRNA from 1 species
UAAGGAAUGUUGGUCAAUGGACGCAAGUCUGAACCAGCCAUGCCGCGUGAAGGAUUAAGGCCCUCUGGGUUGUAAACUUCUUUUAUAGGGGAAGAAAUGUGACGGCUCUCCGUCACUUGACGGUACCCUGGGAAUAAGCACCGGCUAACUCCGUGCCAGCAGCCGCGGUAAUACGGAGGGUGCAAGCGUUAUCCGGAUUCACUGGGUUUAAAGGGUGCGUAGGUGGGCAGAUAAGUCAGUGGUGAAAUCUUCCGGCUUAACCGGGAAACUGCCGCUGAUACUAUUUGUCUUGAAUAUUGCGGAGGUAAGCGGAAUAUGUCAUGUAGCGGUGAAAUGCUUAGAUAUGACAUAUAACACCAACUGCGAAGGCAGCUUACUACACAAUCAUUGACACUGAGGCACGAAAGCGUGGGUAGCGAACA